CCUACGGGAGGCAGCAGUGGGGAAUAUUGCACAAUGGGCGAAAGCCUGAUGCAGCCAUGCCGCGUGUGUGAAGAAGGCCUUCGGGUUGUAAAGCACUUUCAGUUGUGAGGAAAGGGGUGUAGUUAAUAGCUGCAUUCUGUGACGUUAACAACAGAAGAAGCACCGGCUAACUUCGUGCCAGCAGCCGCGGUAAU
rnacentral:rRNA from 1 species